rnacentral:rRNA from 1 species
AGGGUUUGAUCAUGGCUCAGAACGUACGCUGGCGGCACGCCUAACACAUGCAAGUCGAACGAAGUAGCAAUACUUAGUGGCAGACGGGUGAGUAACAUGUAGGUAUCUACCCUUUGGCCUGGAAUAACACGAGGAAACUUGUGCUAAUACCGGAUAAGUCUUUACGGAGAAAGCUUUAUGCACCAUUGGAUGAGCCUGCACUUGAUUAGUUUGUUGGUAGGGUAAUGGCCUACCAAGACUUUGAUCAAUAGCUGAUUUGAGAGGAUGAUCAGCCACAUUGGGACUGAGACACGGCCCAAACUCCUACGGGAGGCAGCAGUGGGGAAUCUUGCACAAUGGAGGAAACUCUGAUGCAGCGAUGCCGCGUGAGUGAAGAAGGCCCUUGGGUUGUAAAGCUCUUUCGUCGGGGAAGAAAAUGACUGUACCCGAAUAAGAAGGUCCGGCUAACUUCGUGCCAGCAGCCGCGGUAAUACGAAGGGACCUAGCGUAGUUCGGAAUUACUGGGCUUAAAGAGUUCGUAGGUGGUUGAAAAAGUUGGUGGUGAAAUCCCAGAGCUUAACUCUGGAACUGCCAUCAAAACUUUUCAGCUAGAGUUUGAUAGAGGAAAGCAGAAUUUCUAGUGUAGAGGUGAAAUUCGUAGAUAUUAGAAAGAAUACCAAUUGCGAAGGCAGCUUUCUGGAUCAUUACUGACACUGAGGAACGAAAGCAUGGGUAGCGAAGAGGAUUAGAUACCCUCGUAGUCCAUGCCGUAAACGAUGUGUGUUAGACGUUGGAAAUUUAUUUUCAGUGUCGCAGCGAAAGCGAUAAACACACCGCCUGGGGAGUACGACCGCAAGGUUAAAACUCAAAUGAAUUGACGGGGACCCGCACAAGUAGUGGAGCAUGUGGUUUAAUUCGAAGAUACGCGCAGAACCUUACCAACACUUGACAUGUUCGUCGCGACUUUAAGAGAUUAAAGUUUUCGGUUCGGCCGGACGAAACACAGGUGCUGCAUGGCUGUCGUCAGCUCGUGUCGUGAGAUGUUGGGUUAAGUCCCGCAACGAGCGCAACCCUCACUUUUAGUUGCCAUCAUUUAGUUGGGCACUCUGAAAGAACUGCCAGUGAUAAGCUGGAGGAAGGUGGGGAUGACGUCAAGUCCUCAUGGCCCUUACGUGUUGGGCUACACACGUGCUACAAUGGUAUCUACAACAGGAAGCAAAACGGCGACGUUAAGCAAAUCCUUAAAAGAUACCUCAGUUCGGAUUGUACUCUGCAACUCGAGUACAUGAAGCUGGAAUUACUAGUAAUCGUGGAUCAGCGUGCCACGGUGAAUGCGUUCCCGGGUCUUGUACACACCGCCCGUCACACCAUGGGAGUUGGUUCUACCUUAAGGCAAGGUUUAAAACCCUUGACCACGGUAUAGUCAGCGACUGGGGUGAAGUCAUAACAAGGUAGCCG